GACGAACGCUGGCGGCGUGCUUAACACAUGCAAGUCGAACGGUGAAGGGGCCUGCUUUUGUGGGCCCUGGAUGAGUGGCGAACGGGUGAGUAACACGUGAGUAACCUGCCCCCUUCUUCUGGAUAACCGCAUGAAAGUGUGGCUAAUACGGGAUAUUCUGGGUCUGUCGCAUGAUGGGUCUGGGAAAGAUUGCGCCUUUGGGUGUUUUUGGUGGGGGAUGGGCUCGCGGCCUAUCAGCUUGUUGGUGGGGUGAUGGCCUACCAAGGCGGUGACGGGUAGCCGGCCUGAGAGGGUGGACGGUCACACUGGGACUGAGACACGGCCCAGACUCCUACGGGAGGCAGCAGUGGGGAAUAUUGCACAAUGGGCGCAAGCCUGAUGCAGCGACGCCGCGUGAGGGAUGGAGGCCUUCGGGUUGUAAACCUCUUUCGCCAGUGAAGCAGGCCUGCUCCUUGUGGGUGGGUUGACGGUAGCUGGAUAAGAAGCGCCGGCUAACUAUGUG
rnacentral:rRNA from 1 species